rnacentral:rRNA from 1 species
UACAGAGGUCUCGAGCGUUUGUUCGGAUUCAUUGGGCGUAAAGGGUGCGUAGGCGGCGGGGUAAGUCUGAUGUGAAAUCCCGGGGCUCAACCCCGGAACUGCAUUGGAUACUGCCCUGCUUGAGUACUGGAGAGGAGACUGGAAUUUACGGUGUAGCGUGAAAUGCGUAGAUAUCGUAAGGAAGACCAGUGGCGAAGGCGGAUCUCUGGACAGUAC